CACGUAGGGCGCAAGCGUUGUCCGGAAUUAUUGGGCGUAAAGAGCUCGUAGGUGGUUUGUUACGUCUGCUGUGAAAACCUAGGGCUUAACCCUGGGCUUGCAGUGGAUACGGGCAGACUAGAGGUAGGUAGGGGAGAAUGGAAUUCCUGGUGUAGCGGUGAAAUGCGCAGAUAUCAGGAGGAACACCGGUGGCGAAGGCGGGUCUCUGGGCAGUAACUGACGCUGAGGAGCGAAAGCGUGGGGAGCGAACAGG
rnacentral:rRNA from 1 species